rnacentral:miRNA from 1 species
UCUGUUCAUUCUCCGACACAAG